GACGAACGCUGGCGGCGUGCUUAACACAUGCGAGUCGAACGGAAAGGCCCUGCUUGCAGGGUACUCGAGUGGCGAACGGGUGAGUAACACGUGGGUGAUCUGCCCUGCACUUCGGGAUAAGCCUGGGAAACUGGGCCUAAUACCGGAUAGGAGCUAUUUUUAGUGUGAUGGUUGGAAAGUUUUGUCGGGGUAGGAUGAGCUCGCGGCCUAUCAGCUUGUUGGUGGGGUAAUGGCCUACCAAGGCGGCGACGGGUAGCCGGCCUGUGAGGGUGGACGGCCACCCUGGGUCUGAGAGACGGCCCAGACUCCUACGGGUGGCAGCAGUGGGGAAUAUUGCCCGAGCGGCGCCAGCCUGAUGCAGCGACGCCGCGUGUGGGAUGACGGCCUUCGUGUUGUAAACUCCGUUCGCUAGUGACGAAGCUUUUUGUGACGGUACCUAGACAAGAAGCACCGGCUAACUACGUG
rnacentral:rRNA from 1 species